rnacentral:rRNA from 1 species
UACGUAGGGUGCAAGCGUUGUCCGGAAUUAUUGGGCGUAAAGAGCUCGUAGGCGGUCUGUCGCGUCGGCUGUGAAAACCCGGAGCUCAACUCCGGGCCUGCAGUCGAUACGGGCAGACUGGAGUUCGGCAGGGGAGACUGGAAUUCCUAGUGUAGCGGUGAAAUGCGCAGAUAUCAGGAGGAACACCGGUGGCUAAGGCGGCUCUCUAGUACGGUACUGACGCUGAGACGCGAAAGCGUGGGAGCGAACAGG